CAUGUGUGUGACUUAUUUCUCCUCUAUAUAGGGAAUAGUGGAAAAGCUAUCUAUUUACAGAAACAAAGCAGGGGCCUGAGAGAAGAAAUGGUGGUUCCUUGUCCAAUGGCUCCUGGAGAACAGGUGUAUCUACGAGUGUUCAAGAGGAAGUGGAAUAAGCCAAGAAGGGAGGAGCCAUACAAAGUGGUAAGAGCAACUCCAACAGCAAUACAGGUAGGAGGAAGCACCACUUUGUAUCAUCUAAAUCACUGUACUAGAGCACCUAGUUUGAGACCUAGGAGACAGGAGGAUCAGGUAAUCGAAGGGGACGAUCCCUUGACUGGUCUCCAGAACAGUACUGAACUAGAGCUGAAUGAGACAAUCAGUGAGCCAGAGUGGAUCUCUGAUCAGCUGCAACAGGAUGGAACAGACUCCAGUUCCUCAAGUGAGGACGAAGAAGAGGCUUGAUGAACUAUAUUCUGGUUGUAAGUGCUAGCCUAAACCUCUCCCCAAGGAUGACCCCCUGCAAUACACAAAGUAUCUGGGUUGAAGACAAACAUUGCUAAGACAUCCCCUGAGAAAGGAUUUGAUGGAUUUUUUUUAUUUUUGCUUUUUCCAUUUUUCUAUUCUUUCUACUUUUUUAAAUUUUUACAUUUUCUAUUAAAAUAUAAUCAAGUGUGUUUAGAGACAGGGUGAUCACUGUCUGAUUUAUCAUUGUAAUCAAACUGAGAAAAUUGUUUUGUAUUCAUGUUUAUCAGUCUAUACCUGUAUCAGGUAUAUGUGCUUAAUCAACUGUGUAUUUUACAUAACCGUGACAACCACGGGCAAGUGCCGAACCAAAUGCAUGCGCACGCUUACAAACACUGUCUUGAUUUUUGUGGUUAGGGAAAGGGAGACAGAAUAUUUUACUCCUUUCUAGCCAAAUGGAGAGGAGAUGUUUGUUUCUGUUCUUUAGGGGAGAGUGGUUUCAGGAUUUGGGUCAUUGAUAGAUGGCCUCCUCUGUCAACUCCACUGUAUCCCAGGUCUUAUAAUCCUUCUUCUCUAUAGCCUUGGUAUGGGAGCGCAGCCCUCCACGGUACAUCUGCCCCUAGACACUGUCUUGUAAGUAGCCAUCCCAUUUCUGCACCAACUGUGAAAGGCAGGGUUGUCUAAGGUGUGAUGGUGGUCGUUCCACCCAAAAAAUGGCACGCUUGGUGCAAGGUGUAUUUUUUUUAUGGUGCCUAGUGACAAAACAAAAAAACAGAGGAAAAAGGACAAUGGAAAAAAACAACUGAAAAAAAAUAAAUAUACACAAUUCCACACACCAAAACUUUCUACAAUAGUCUUCCACACUCCACAUUCUGCACCACUACUGCACUCGUUUUGACUUCACAUCCAUGUCUAAUGGCUUGGGUCCCCCUUUUAAAAACUUCAGCUCUGACCCUUCUAGAUCAUACCAUCUUACAGGUACAAACAAUGCACACACAUGUAUCUAUGUAUCUAUAUAUAUAUAUAUAUAUCACAUGGGGGAAAUAUGUAUUGAAUGCAUCAACAUUUUUGUUCAGAAAAUAUAUUUCCAAUAUUUCCAAUCCACAUAUAAAUGAAUCCAAAGAUUAAAGUCCAUAAAUGAAGUUAUAUGUAAUAUAGAGGAAUGACACAGGAAAAAAGCAGUGAACACUCUAACUGAAAUUUAUAUAAUACUUAGUGGAGAAGCCUUUGUUUGUAAUGACAGCUUCAAGAAGUAAAAAAACACCAAAUGGCCUUCCAGCAUUUUAUAAAUGAGACCCUCCAUGAAACAUUGAAUUACUAUGAUUUCGUCUACCUAGACGAUGUUCUGAUCUUUAGCAACUCGCUAGAAGAGGAUGUGGUUCAUGUCUGCCGGGUUCUUCAGCUCCUCCUGCAGAACCACCUAUAUGGCAAGCUCACAAAGUCACAGUUCCAUGUCACCACCAGUUCCUUCUUGGGCUUUGUUGUAUCUCAUGAGGAGCUGAAUAUGUAUCCCACUAAGUUAAAAGUGGUUAAGGAGUGGUCUCUGCCGACCUCGGUCUGGGGGUCCAGUGGUGUGUGGGAUUUACUUCUGUGGAUGACUUGUGAAUAAGUUUGGCUGCCCCAUUGUGCUUCCUGGCCAAGAAAGACCAAGGCAAGUUCAAGUGGACAGCUGAUGCACAGGAGGCUUUUGAAGCCCUAAAUGGGUGAUUAAC